AUCAAGUCUGGAAAUAAGAUAAGGUAGAACCCAGGUGAGAAUCAACAGACCUGAGCUGCAGCUCAGUGGGGAAUUGAUUGGGAACGUUUUCCUGCUCUGACACAGACAGUGCUGGAAAUGAAAGUGUCCCGUGCUCCUCAGAGCUGAGGUGAUGGGGGAGUUAACAAAAAACUCUGUUACCCAUCCUGUGUGGUUCAGUGAGCUGAGCUGGUGUUCCAGCCCUCUAUCUGCUCCCUUCCCUGCUGAUCAGAGCCAAGAGGGGGCCCAGAAAGCAGAGCCAGCUGUGCUCUUCUCUGGGACAGAACAUCUGUAUGGCACAUCUGUAUUGACAGGGCACUUUGAACAGUGCUGUGGAUCAGGCUAGCAGAUGGAAACUGAGAGGGCUUUUACCUGCCUGGAAACCAGACCGCCCACAUGUAUAAUUAAUGCUGGCAAUACCACAAAACCUGUGAGCAGACCAAAUCUUAAGCACUUCUCUAUUUCUGAGUGAAAAGUUCCCUAGAAAUAUGACUAAAGGAGAAUCAUCUGUGUGCCUUUUUCUAAAAUAAGAUACUUCUCCAAUUCCUGCAUCUUGACCUUAACAGCAUUUAUAACAAACCCACAGAAGAGUCACAGCCCCAUGAGCUGACACCUGCCUGUGUCCCCACCACUGAGAGCACCAUGUGCUAUGUGAGCUCUGGUACAACUAAGGAAGAGUCACAGGGAUAUAAAAGAAGAAGAGAAAUAAAGAAGCAUUUUUAAAAGGAUGAAAGAAAAAUAGAAUCUGCUGAGAAGGAGAAACACCUUCAUCCUUGAGCAACUUCUCCAGGUUCUCUAUGCUGCAGGCGCUGCCCUGUCCCUGAACUGCCCUGUCUGGGUCACCCCCUCGUGCCGAGACCUUCUGGGGACACGUCCCUCCGUGCCUUCCCCUCUUUCCAUGGGUCCCCCCCCGCCUCUUCCCCCGCCUGAACCGAGCGGCGGCCCCACCCCGAGGCCCCUCCCGCCGCGUGCAGCUCGGUGCCCUCGGGCCGCGGCGCCCUCACGUCAUUGAAGCAGCCCAGAGCCUUGUCGUGCUGGCCGCGCCGGCUCAGGGCCGUUCCCUCGGUCAUGAGACUCCCGAAAGUGACCACGGGCAAGGUCUCAUCCUCCGCCAUGGCUGCGCUGCGGCGCCGUUGCCGAGCAACGGUUACCGGGCAACCGCCGCUUCCGGUGCUCUGUCCCGCCCCGGAAGUGACGGACGCGCCCGGACGGUGCCCACGUGGGCUCCCGGUGUCCCGGUCCUGGCUCCGGCCCGGUCCCGGCUCCGGCCCGGCGCUCGCUACCGGCGGGUCCUCGCCGAGCUUCUGAGCUGACCCGACUCCGUGCCCGUGGGGUUCUGUUCUUGCACCCGCGUUCCCGGGGCCCUGCCAGGAGCGCGGCCGCUCAGUACAGCCGCGGUGCCUCGGCGGUGGCCGAACGCCGGGCAGAGCCGGUUCCUCUGCCCCGCCGGGUAACGCGCCGGUGUUCCGCAGGCGCAACACGAGGGCAGCCACCGUCUCCCUACAGUCGAUAAUGGUUUGGUGCUCGCGGCUGGCCCCGGUAGCGGUUUCAGCGCUGAGGGGGCUAGUCCUGGCUAAAUAAAUGCUGCUGGGUCACUCCUA